GGUGGAAUAACUCAGUUGGUUAGAGCAUCAGAUAGUAAUUCUGAGGUCGCCAGUUUGAUUCCGGCUUCAGCCA